GAAAAAUCUAGAAGGCAUCUCCUUCCAUGCUCUUUUAUUAUUUUUUAUGUGACCAUUUAUGUUUAGGAAUCAGAUUGAGGGGAUGCAGAGGCCCAAAUCAACUACUGCAGUAUGGCUGGCAAUCUCAGAGAGAUGACGACCUGCCAAAUUCCCGACACACAGGCGGAUGUCUGAGCCAUAAAAGAUGUGAUCUAGUA
ensembl:lncRNA